rnacentral:lncRNA from 1 species
AACUAAGAGGCAACAAUGAAACCAGAGGCAAUAAUAUAGCUGAUAAGAAAAGAUUUACGUGUCUCAAGCAGUUGCUUGGAAACAAAAGGCCGAAAAGUCCUUUAAUGAAGAGAGCCUUCACAGCAGCAGAUUUUGCACCCGAGGACCAACAAGUUGUUGAAACGUGCACUAAACAGAAUUUACGGUUACAGCGCCGUAAACGACGAUAUCCAGUGAUAACUUGGAGAAGAGCUUUUAGUUUGUAUGAAAAAACAAUGGAAUGCCUGAAUGACAACUGUGAAAAGCAGUUGACGAGAGGAGCUAAAUAAAAGUUGAGGAUAAGAAACAACUUCAGCACUCAUUUAGAUGUUUCUGGAAGUAGUCUUUUCUUUUCACAGUGAAAUUUAAUAAAUAUCUAAUUGGGAAUUAUUCUUGGUAUACUAUGAAAUUAGAGGCUUAAAAAUUAUUUUAAUACAACCAAACCAUAGUACUUGUACCAGGAGGCCUGUAGUAAAUUGA